rnacentral:lncRNA from 1 species
AACAGAUGUUAGUAGUCAACUACAAGGCAAGCCAAGAUAACGUCCUAAACAGAAGUGCGAAGAGGUGUUGUAGGCAUACAUCAGAAAGAAGAAAUGCUUUUGACCAAGGAUCAAGGAAGGCUACAGAGAGGAAAUAACAAUGAGCUUAUUCGUGGGACUAUAUAAGAUAAGGGAGUGGAGUAUAUUUCAGGUUGAGGAAACAGCAUGAGCAGGCAUAAAUAUAAUAUAAUGUUUGGUGUGGGAGAAGCAGUGAAAUGUGAUGUCAAUGACUGGGGGGAUGUUCCAGGAGACUGGCUAAAAUAUUGUUGGCAGAAAAAUCAGGAAGGGCUUAGGAUACCAUGCUGAAGAAUUUGGACUUUAUAGGCAAUGGGGAUGCUUUUCUGCAAAGGGAAGAGAACUUUUGGGCAACUCCUCAAAUAUGAAAUCAAUGGGAGACAACCCUGAGUAAGGUUGAAAUGUUUCUCAUGACUAAAAAGUAGAGUGAGAAUAUUAUAGGCUACUUCUACUGGGAAGGGUUUGUAUAAACCAUAACCAUAUCUUUUAAAGUCCCAUUAGGCCUUGCUUCUAGUCCAUUAGUUUGGGAAUGUUAGGCUGACAUUUUUAUUCAUGUAACCCCAUUGUACUCUCAGAUAUUCCUGUAUCCAAGAGAGAUAAGUAAACCCUUAGCCUGAUCAUAGAACUUCUGAAUAUAUAUGGUUAGUUGAUGACACAUUUCUCUCUCCAGUUACCCAAGCUCCAUGAAACAAUCAUAAAGGAACAAAAGGACAAAGUAAUUGGGGGAAUAUAACAACAAUGAACACAGUUCCUUCCUGAAGAGACCACAGCAUGGUGCUGAAGAGCGUGAUCUCAGGAAUACAGAACUGGAUUUAAAUCCCUGCCUCAGAUGACUUUGUGAACCACGUAUCCUCUAUGGAAAUCAGUUUCUUCAUCAUUGAAAUGGAGAUAACUGGUAUUAUCCGCAGUGAUUUGCUUGCCUUUCUUACACUGUCUUGAUAUCUGCAUCUUUGAGAAUCCAAACUGACACAGUUGUCACCAGAACUGGACCAAGAAGGCAAGUGGCAAGAUGGGGUUUGGAAAUUGAAUCUCUGACCACCAUCUGGCUAUGUUUUACCUCAGUGCUAUGUUAACUCUGCCAUGCUUGUUGAUAAUAAAAUUCAAAGAGAUAUGGACCAUCUGGACAUACCGCAGGAUAUCAUAUUGAUCCAGUACAUCUGUGAUAUCAUGCUAAUUGGACAAG